AUGGAGGGGCGCACAGGGUACCGCAUGGGUUUUGUGGGCCUCUCUGCCCGUGGGCCCCCGUCUCCUGCAGGGACACUAACCCUCUCCUCCUCGUCCUCUGUUUUCCUUCGAGCGUCUGUGCAGGUUCUGACCAUGAGUCACUCCACGGCUCAGGCUCCUGUGAAAUCCGUUUCUGGUGCUGCUCCUCCCACACCUGCCCCAGUGGUUCCUGUCGCCCUGCCCGUGCUGGCCCUGCCGUCACGACUUGCCCCAGGUUCAGCUGCCCGGGUCCCCAUUUGUCGUCUACGAUCAUGGUUGCCAAACCUACUGCUGCCUUUUCUCAUGAUUUUUUCUUGUUUCUUACUGAUAAAGGACCCCUUUAUCUACUCGCGUGGAUCUCACCCGUUGGCUGUAUUUGAUUUGAGGUCUUCAUGCUCAUCUACAUCACAUUCUCGGUGCAUCUGUCCCCGUGACGGUGCCCCACACGCUGAGCAGGGGCCGCGCACCGGCGCCUCUGGCCACUGUGGCCCGAGAAUGCGCAUUCUGGCUCUGGUUCUGUGUCGUGAGCUGCCCGGCCUAGCCGCGUGUCCCCAGAGCCCGAGGGGGACGGGAGACGCCUCCCGUGAGACCAAAUGUAUGUUUGCUCUGCAUCGUGCUUCUGGCUCCCUAACCCCCUGGGGUUUUCCAGGUGAGAAGAGCCAAUAAGGUGUCUUUUGUAUCAUAAUGGGGAGACGCUGGAAAGCCCCUAGGAUCGCACUGGUGGCCAGGGAUCCAAGCCUGUGAUCUGAGAGCAGGAACCACCUGGCCUCUGGGAGGGGAGAGGGCCUGGGGGUUGCAUGGAUCACCUAUGGCCAAUGACUUGAUCAAGCCUCCGUAAAAAGCCAAAGAAGGAUGGGGUUGGGGUCAGAGAGCUUCGGGCGGUUGAACUCUUGGAGACUGGGGACAGCCGUGUGCUCAAGGGCUCGAGGGGGCUCCACCCCUCCCCUCCCCUCGCCCUGCCCGGCUCUGCAGCUCUUGGGCUGUUCUGAGUUCUAGCCUUGACGAUGACCAGCUGAUCGACUAAGUAAAGUGUUCCCUGCGAGCUGCCCUAGCCAACCAGGUGGGCCCACGGAGGGAGUCACUGGAACCUCCGAUCUAUAGCCAGCUGCUCAGAGGCACAGGUGACAACCAGGACGGCCACCGGCAUCUGGAGUUGGGGGAGGGGCAGUCUUGUGGGACCCAGGGGGCUGAGGCCAGUCCCCAGGAGGACGGUGUCGGAACCGAGGAGAGUUGUAGGGCCCCCGCGGGGGGGGGGGUGGGGGAGCUGAUGUGGGAGGCAUAUUCUCCCUGCAAGUGCCCUCAGCAAGCCCCCCGCCCGGCGAGGGCUCCCUAACCACCAAUCGCCCACCCGGGUGCCAAGGCCGAGGGCGGAGGUGGGCUCCCCAGCAGCCAUCACCUUGUUCUCAACAGCCCUCGCCCUGGAGGGCCAGACCCCCACCUCUUCCUGGCCCUCCCCACCGCCCCGCAGCCACCCCGUUCCAGACAACCUCAGUGCCCGGGUUUCCCCCUGGGGUCCAUCCUUGUCCUCCUUCUGUGGUCCCCCCGGGGGGACGGGGCAAGAGCCCGCAUUAGCCAGGAACCAGGACAGGACAGAGGAGACAGGCCAUGGAGGGGCCCUGGUGGGGAAGACGCCUCCCACCCCGGGAGCUCUGCUCUUCUGCUGAGACGUCUUAGCUUCGGCAGGGUGGGCACCCGUGGCUGGUUAGAGGGGCCCCUAGGAAGCCUGCUGGUAGUGGACGAGGCCGUUCCCUCGUCUCUCAGCAGGGCCUGGGGGCCUGAGGAGGCCGGGACCACCCCCCUGCCACACACACACACAGCAAACCUCCACCAGCUGCUCCGCGGGGCCCUGUGAAGCUGGGAAGGACUCCGGGGCAGCGAGGGGCAAAUACUGUCCCCCCUCAAGAAGGUCGAGUUAUUCACUAGCCUCCAAAAUAAAUAAAUGAGCACCACAGUACUUAACGGAACG
rnacentral:lncRNA from 1 species